AGCAGUCGCCACGGUAAUACGAAGGUCCCGAGCGUUGUUCGGAAUCACUGGGCGUAAAGGGAGCGUAGGCGGCGUGGUAAGUCAGAUGUGAAAUCCCGGGGCUCAACCCCGGAACUGCAUCCGAUACUGCCAUGCUAGAGGAUUGGAGAGGUAGCUGGAAUUCUUGGUGUAGCAGUGAAAUGCGUGGAGAUCAAGAGGAACACUCGUGGCGAAAGCGAGCUACUGGACAAUAACUGACGCUGAGGCUCGAAGGCCAGGGUAGCGAAAGGGAUUAGAUACCCGGGUAGUCCCUGUCUCUUAUAC
rnacentral:rRNA from 1 species